UUGGGACCCCAAGCCUCUCACUUUUCUUCCCAGUAAAAUGGGAAGGUAAAUGUGAACGACAAAGAUUAAAUGUGAGAACGUGAUAAUAUACACGUGUCGUGUGUCCCCUGGAAUGUAAUUACAGCUCACUGAACGUCUUGAGCUCAAUUUAAAAGGAAGCCAUCAGUGUUACGGCCCAGGUUCAGGCUCCUCCCUCCCCCCCUUAGACUGCCUUAGACUAAACUAAGGGGCAGAGUCUUGCAGCACUUUCAUCUUUGGCUAACCUCGCAACUCUGGGUCACUGGGCAGGUUAGACAUUUUUGUAGGAAGCUUAGCUCAGCACUUGGCCUACAAGAGGUGUAGUUAAGUGUGAGCGACGGGUACUGAGGCAAAUGAGAAAUUGCUAAGUUCUUGGGACACACAGCCUAAGAAUAAAAUCUUGUUGCAACCUCAACCAGGCCGAAGGUCCCCUGCAUUGACUUGGGAAAACAAACAAAAAGUUGACAUUGACAUAUAUCCAGCAUUCAUUCAACAAAUGUGUACUUUUAGUGAGGGAAUAAACUACAGAACAGUGGUAUGUCCCAUAGAAAAAAAGGCAGCGGGGAGGGGGGAGAGAACGUUGGGGCAAUGAUCCUCUUUACAGUGGGGUACUGGGAGAAGCCUUACUGCGAAGGUGAUAACUGACGAAGAGCCACGUGGAUAUCUGAAGAGAGGCAGAACUGCAAGUGCUCGGAGACAUACGGAUCGGUUAAUACUGCUUGGCUCGAAAGAGGCUUUCAUUAAAUAAGAGAUAAGGACGACGUUAGGUAAUUCAGAGAAUUUGAGGCCUCUACGGUGCAAUUGCACAUUUGUGGCUCCGGAAAGAGGCAGGAAUUGAAAUCCCUAUAUGGCCCAGACUGCGAACUCAGAGGGACUGCAUUUCUAAACUCAGUGCCACCUGAGAGGUGCCUUUGACAGAACCGCGUCGAACCGGAGUCAGCUUCCCGUCGGCAUCAGCACCGGCACAGAUGCCCGUUUAAUAAACGCUGGAAGCUGAAAUCUGCAUUUCCUAGCCCAAGGCCGACGCAGCUGCGCCACGGAAGCCCUCACAACGGCGGGAUUCCAGGAUCCAGCCUGUUUCCACAACGUGCCGCUCGCUUCCGGCCAGCGCUGUAACGUCAUCAAGCAGAGCCGGAAGUGCCUUCGCGCUGCCUAGGAGACGGGACGCGGGGCCCUAAGCUGACAGGGCCCGGCUGGCCGCGCCCACCCGGUCGCCAUGGAGCUGCCCCCAGGGCCGCGCGACGAUCCCCGCGCCUGGGAAGAUGACUCGGACCCGGAGUCGGAGCCCGACCCCGACGCGCAGGCCGAGGCUUACGUCGCCCGCGUGCUCAGUCCGCCGAAAGUCGGGCAGGCGCCCCCACGCGCCCCUUUGCUGUCCCCGCCCGUCGCAUCCCCUGGCGCCCUGGAGCCGCGGGCGGCGUCUAAGGGUGUGCCUGUGGGAGUCCCGGGACUGCUGAGCCUUCCUCCGGAGCUGCUGCUCGAGAUCUGCGCUUACCUAGAUGCGCGCCUGGUGCUCCACGUCCUGCCGCGCGUGUGCCACACGCUGCGCGACCUCGUGCGUGACCAUGUCACCUGGAGGCUACGGGCGCAGCGCCGCGUACGCGCGCCCUACCCAGUGGUGGAAGAGGAGGACUUUGACUGGCCGACAGCCUGCAUCGAGCUGGAGCAACACCUGUCGCGCUGGGCGGAGGAUGGGCGUUGGGCUGAGUACUUCUGCUUGGCUGAUGGGCACUUUGCUUCCAUUGACUCGGUGCUGCUGCUCCAGGAUGGUGCGCUUUGUCUGUCAGGCUCCCGAGAUCGCAAUGUCAACCUGUGGGACCUGCGGCAGCUGGGGAUGGAGCCCAGCCAGGUUCUAGUCAAGGCCCUGGGCACUGAGAAGAACAGCACCCACAAGGGCUGGGUGUGGUCGCUGGCAGCGCUGGACCACCGCGUGUGCUCUGGUUCCUGGGACAGCACCGUGAAGCUCUGGGACAUGGCAGCGGACGGGCAGCAGUUCGGCGAGAUAAAGGGCAAGGCGGCUGUGCUGUGCUUGUCCUACCGGCCUGACAUCCUGGUGACCGGCACCUAUGACAAGAAGGUGACCGUCUACGACCCCAGAGUUGGCCCGGCCCUGGUGAAGAGCCGGCGGCUGCACUCGAGUGCCGUGCUGGCGCUGCUGGCGGACGACCGGCACAUCGUCUCGGGCAGCGAGGACCGCACACUCGUGGUGUUCGACCGCCGGGCUGACAACGUCGUACAGCGGCUGCAGCUGGACUCCUACCUGCUCUGCAUGUCCUACCAGGAGCCCCAGCUCUGGGCUGGUGACAACCAGGGCCUGCUGCACGUCUUCGCCAACCGCAGUGGCCGCUUCCAGCUUGUCCGGUCUUUUGACGUGGGCCACCGGUCUCAGAUCACAGGGAUCAAACACUCACUGGGGGCCUUGUACACCACGUCCACCGACAAGACCAUCCGGGUGCAUGUGCCCACGGAUCCGCCGAGGACCAUCUGCACCCGAAGCCACAACAACGUGCUGAAUGGGGUAAGGCCCUGCCCUGUGUGCCCCGCCCAGCGGCCCACAGCGCCCCUGACUCCCUCCAUCCCUGCCCUCCCAGAUCUGCGCAGAGGGCAACCUGGUGGUCGCCGCCUCCGGGGGCCUGUCUCUGGAGGUCUGGAGGCUGCAGGCCUGAGCAGGCCGACUCGGAUGUGGAGGUGGAUCCGCCGGCCCACUGGCUGGGCCACGGCCUCUGUUCUCGGGGGACGCCCCCCAUGCUGGUGCUGCCUCUGCCCUGUCCUGAAGUCCUGAGGCACAAGGAGUCGGGCCAUGGUGCGCUGUGCCCCAUGGGCGGUGCCCCACGCCAGGGAAGUGGGCCCCAACACUCCUCCUCUGCCGGCCUCGGCCCCCAGCACGUACAGAGCGUACCCUGGCUGAGGUGCAGCCUGGCCUCACCCUCUGUCUACACUCACCGCCUGGGAUCUCAUCGGCAGAUUUUAUCUUUAAGUAAUCUCUACACCCAAUGUGGGGCUCAAACUCACAACCCCAAGA